rnacentral:rRNA from 1 species
AUUGAACGCUGGCGGUAUGCUUAACACAUGCAAGUCGAACGAUGAGAAAGAGCUUGCUCUUUCGAUUAGUGGCGGACGGGUGCGGAACGGGUAGGAAUCUACCUAUUAGUGGGGGACAACUUAGGGAAACUUAAGCUAAUACCGCAUACGACCUACGGGGGGAAGAAAGGGAUCGCAAGACCUGUGGUUAGUAGAGGAGAUGGUGUAGGAUUAGCUCGUUGGUGGGGUAAAGGCUCACAAAGGCGACGAUCCUUAACUUGUUUGAGAGAAUGAUCAGUCACACUGGAACUGAGACACGGUCCAGACUCCUACAGGAGGCAGCAGGGGGGAAUAUUGGACAAUGGGCGAAAGCCUGAUCAAGCAAUACCGCGUGUGUGAAGAAGGCCUUAGGGUCGUAAAGCACUUUCAAUUGGAAGGAAAACCUCGAAGCUAAUACCUUCGAGUUUGACAUUACCUUUAGAAGAAGCACCGGCUAACUCCGUGCCAGCAGCCGCGGUAAAAC